rnacentral:rRNA from 1 species
GACAGAGGGUGCAAACGUUGUUCGGAAUUACUGGGCGUAAAGAGUGUGUAGGCGGUGCUCUAAGUUUGUCGUGAAAUCUCCCGGCUUAACUGGGAGGGUGCGGCGAAAACUGGAGUGCUAGAGGGUGGGAGGGGAAAGCGGAAUUCCUGGUGUAGCGGUGAAAUGCGUAGAUAUCAGGAGGAACACCUGCGGUGUAGACAGCUUUCUGGACCACUUCUGACGCUGAGACACGAAAGCGUGGGUAGCAAACAGG